rnacentral:rRNA from 1 species
GUCUAUGGCCAUGCUACCCUGAAUGUGCCAGAUCUUGUCUGAUCUUGGAAGCUAAGCAGGGUCAGGUCUGCUUAGUACUUGGAUGGGAAUUCUUUAUAUAUUUUAUUAC